UACGGGGGGUGCGAGCGUUGUCCGGAAUCACUGGGCGUAAAGGGCGCGUAGGUGGUUUGAUAAGGGUGUGGUGAAAGUCCGGGGCUCAACCCCGGAUCUGCCGUGCCGACUGUCAAACUCGAGGGCUGUAGAGGCAGACGGAAUUCCGGGUGUAGCGGUGGAAUGCGUAGAGAUCCGGAGGAAGACCGGUGGCGAAGGCGGCCUGCUGGGCAGUUUCUGACACUGAGGCGCGACAGCGUGGGGAGCAAACAGG
rnacentral:rRNA from 1 species